rnacentral:rRNA from 1 species
UACGGAGGGUGCAAGCGUUAUCCGGAUUCACUGGGUUUAAAGGGUGCGUAGGUGGAGUGGUAAGUCAGUGGUGAAAUCUCCAAGCUUAACUUGGAAACUGCCGUUGAUACUAUCAUUCUUGAAUACCGUGGAGGUGAGCGGAAUAUGUCAUGUAGCGGUGAAAUGCUUAGAUAUGAACAUAGAACACCAAUUGCGAAGGCAGCUCACUACACGAAUAUUGACACUGAGGCACGAAAGCGUGGGGAUCAAAACAGGA